rnacentral:rRNA from 1 species
UACGAAGGGGGCUAGCGUUGCUCGAAAUCACUGGGCGUAAAGCGCACGUAGGCGGAUUGUUAAGUCAGGGGUGAAAUCCUGGAGCUCAACUCCAGAACUGCCUUUGAUACUGGCGACCUUGAGGCUGGAAGAGGUUAGUGGAAUUCCCAGUGUAGAGGUGAAAUUCGUAGAUAUUGGGAAGAACACCAGUGGCGAAGGCGGCUAACUGGUCCAGAUCUGACGCUGAGGUGCGAAAGCGUGGGGAGCAAACAGG